CAGGGUUAGAAUGGAGCAGGCUCUGCUUAGGCGGAGUUUCUCGGGGCCGAGGUAAGGACCCCGGCCAGCUUGCUUUGAAGGCAGAUCGGUCUGCAGAUAACAAAAAUAAUCUGAAUCGCUCUGUGGUUGCUUCUGAAAGCAGAGCCCCGACACAAGAGUUGUAAGUGGCUUAGUAAUGCUUUCUGCCUUGCUCGGUCUGUUUGCUUUUACCGCAGUUACUUCUUGCUGCCUAGAUUUAAUCUUCUAAUCAGAGUGCGAUUUGGAAGAUGGAGAGAAAAUGCACUCUUUGUGCUACAAAAUACAGGCCCUGCUGCGUGGGAGUGUUGUUAGUAGACUCCAGGUAGCAUAGAGGGAAAAAUUUCACAAUUGGAAAAACACAAACAAAAGCCACUUACAAACCUCCCAGUGUUUCCAGCCCCCAGUCUUUCAGAAAAUAUUUUAGCCUGAGCUACAAUUCUUCAUAAUCCAGAGAAAACACAAGGCUCACCAGGAGACCAUCAAUACUCCAGACACUUUUCCUGAAAGCUGGAACCAUGGUUGCGGGUUACUACUGUAGCUGUGCCGGAGGGGAGAAGUUUUAAAUACAAUAAUGUGUAUCGGAAAAGACAAGCUGCAGGAACAGGAAUACUGAACCUCAGAGUUAAAAUGAGGCAAGCAGUCUCACCAAUGGACCACCUUCCUACAAAGUCAUCAGAACCACAGCAAAUCAAAGGUUGACAGGGAUUUGGAUGAGUCUAGGAAGUAAUAGGAGCAAGACAAGGAAGAACUAAAAGCCAAUUUGCCAGGCAACGCAAAGAACUGAGGAGAUACAUCUUCUCUGCCAUACGGCUGUGGCAAGAUCUUAUAAUCUUCCAUCAGGAAUGAUAUGGAUGCAUAACUCAAUUUAUUAAGAACUACUGUGAGCUGGCCUGAAGCCUACCAGAGUCAUGCCCAACUGUUCCAUAUUCUUCCUGGAAGAGUCAGAAUCCUUCCUCUGAGCAAACAUGUAACACUGGCAGUUACUGUGGAGCAGUCAAGUAAUCAUCCACGGUAUCAGCAAUAAAUCAUACAUUCAUUUCCCUUAGACAUUAAGGGUAAGGAAGAAGAGAAGGAUUCCAAGUUGGAUGAUAGAGAUUACAUCAUUGUGGAUAAACCCAUGAGCCUGUCCAACUGAAGCAAUGCCAAUAGACCCAGAUGAUUCAAGAGUGCACUACAUGCAUCUCCAGCUGUUGACACUCUUUCUUCUCCAGUUGCUCUUUCAUAGCUUCAUUUGCCUCUUGCUUAUUCUUUCUUUGGGGAAUAAUUUUAACGAAAAGGUGGAGCUGACUGAGACACUUACAGAGGGAGUGGCAUCUGAAGCAAACUGUAGUGAUAACACUAGCACAAUAUUAUUGCUAAAAUGCCACAGAGCCAUACUUACAUUUGGACAUCUGAUGUAAGUAUAUAAAGCUUGGCAUCUGUGGGGUAAUAUUAUCAUGCAUGUUUUGCAGUUACCCCCCAU